rfam:Amphimedon queenslandica AMPQTscaffold_13411_Cont3131, whole genome shotgun sequence.
GCCCAGUUAGCUCAGUCGGUAGAGCAUCAGGCUUUUAACCUGAGGGUCACGGGUUCGAGUCCCUUACUGGGCG